AAAAAAGGUAAGCUACUAAGAGCGAAUGGUGGAUGCCUUGACUGGUAAAGGCGAUGAAGGACGUACUAGACUGCGAUAAGCUACGGGGAGCUGUCAAGAAGCUUUGAUCCGUAGAUUUCCGAAUGGGGCAACCCAAUGUAUAGAGAUAUACAUUACCUAUAUAGGAGCGAACGAGGGGAAUUGAAACAUCUUAGUACCCUCAGGAAAAGAAAUCAAUAGAGAUUGCGUCAGUAGCGGCGAGCGAAAGCGCAAGAGGGCAAACCCAGUGCUUGCACUGGGGGUUGUAGGACUGCAAUGUGCAAGAGGUGAGUUUAGCAGAACAUUCUGGAAAGUAUAGCCAUAGAGGGUGAUAGUCCCGUAUGCGAAAAACAAACCUUAGCUAGCAGUAUCCUGAGUAGGGCGGGACACGAGAAAUCCUGUCUGAAGCUGGGUCGACCACGAUCCAACCCUAAAUACUAAUACCAGAUCGAUAGUGCACAAGUACCGUGAGGGAAAGGUGAAAAGAACUGAGGUGAUCAGAGUGAAAUAGAACCUGAAACCAUUUGCUUACAAUCAUUCAGAGCCCUAUGUAGCAAUACAGGGUGAUGGACUGCCUUUUGCAUAAUGAGCCUGCGAGUUGUGGUGUCUGGCAAGGUUAAGCAAACGCGAAGCCGUAGCGAAAGCGAGUCUGAAUAGGGCGCUUAGUCAGAUGCUGCAGACCCGAAACGAAGUGAUCUAUCCAUGAGCAAGUUGAAGCUAGUGUAAGAACUAGUGGAGGACUGAACCCAUAGGCGUUGAAAAGCCCCGGGAUGACUUGUGGAUAGGGGUGAAAGGCCAAUCAAACUUCGUGAUAGCUGGUUCUCUCCGAAAUAUAUUUAGGUAUAGCGUUGUGUCGUAAUAUAAGGGGGUAGAGCACUGAAUGGGCUAGGGCAUACACCAAUGUACCAAACCCUAUCAAACUCCGAAUACCUUAUAUGUAAUCACAGCAGUCAGGCGGCGAGUGAUAAAAUCCGUCGUCAAGAGGGAAACAACCCAGACUACCAGCUAAGGUCCCUAAAUCUUACUUAAGUGGAAAACGAUGUGAAGUUACUUAAA
rnacentral:rRNA from 1 species